UACGUAGGUGGCGAGCGUUGUCCGGAAUUACUGGGUGUAAAGGGCGUGUAGGCGGGGAUGCAAGUCAGAUGUGAAAUACCGAGGCUUAACUUCGGGGGUGCAUCUGAAACUGUAUUUCUUGAGUGUCGGAGAGGAAAGUGGAAUUCCUAGUGUAGCGGUGAAAUGCGUAGAUAUUAGGAGGAACACCAGUGGCGAAGGCGACUUUCUGGACGAUAACUGACGCUGAGGCGCGAAAGCGUGGGGAGGCAAACAGGAUUAGAUACCCGCGUAGUCCCU
rnacentral:rRNA from 1 species